GUAAAAAUAAUAAUACUGAUACUAAUAAUAAUAAUAACUCUUCAUUCCAAUGCAGAUAAACUAGAAACAGAUGAUAAUCUGUAUAUUUGUGAGCUGCAAACAAUGAUCGACUUUACUUAGAACUUUAUCAUAGCUUCAUAACCUGCCUUCCUGCGUUAUGUCAAUCCCAGCAUGACUUAAUGGUUUUUAUCUUCUUCUUUUUUACUGCAGUGUUGCAAUUGUUACACUAUGAUUUUAAAAAGAAAAAAAAACAGAAACAAAAUAGGAAAAAAAGGAAAAUAGCCUUCCUGGGAAUAACAAGCGGCGUGGAGGGGAGGUGAAUCAACCGGCACAGAAAUGGAAGAGAUCUAUUGCACUGAGGUUGCUGAAAUGAAAAUUAAGGUGUUUCCAUGGACUAACAUGAGCAGUUUUCUUUUGCUUAUGGCUAGAAGAUGAACCAUUCAGAAGAUGAGGUAAAAUUCUCACACUGAAAAGAAAACAAUUGCUACAUUAAAAAAAACAGAUAUAACUGAUGUUGUUGCAUGCCAUUUCAAGCAAAUGUGACUUCUGUUCUCAUAUACAUAUAGUUCUGUCCAAACAAUGUGCCCUUGAUUCUGUUCUUACCAACAAUCAAAAUAAGAAAAACCUCUGAAUUCUU